rnacentral:rRNA from 1 species
GUGGGGAAUAUUGCACAAUGGGGGAAACCCUGAUGCAGCGACGCCGCGUGAGCGAUGAAAUAUUUCGGUAUGUAAAGCUCUAUCAGCAGGGAAGAUAAUGACGGUACCUGACUAAGAAGCACCGGCUAAAUACGUGCCAGCAGCCGCGGUAAUACGUAUGGUGCAAGCGUUAUCCGGAUUUACUGGGUGUAAAGGGUGCGUAGGUGGUUGCGCAAGUCAGAAGUGAAAACUAUGGGCUCAACCCAUAGACUGCUUUUGAAACUGCGUAACUAGAGUGCAGGAGAGGAAAGUGGAAUUCCUAGUGUAGCGGUGAAAUGCGUAGAUAUUAGGAGGAACACCAGUGGCGAAGGCGGCUUUCUGGACUGCAACUGACACUGAGGCACGAAAGCGUGGGGAGCAAACAGGAUUAGAAACCCUAGUAGUCC